UUCCCGCACACAACCUCCAUCGCCUCCGCAUCAGCAUCGCUCUCCCACGUCCGUUGCCGCCCGCCGCCACCUCCGCCCCUUCUCUCACGCCUUCUCCCCUCGUUCCUCUCUCCUAGCCUAUCUCUAGCCCUUCACUUCUCCUUUUCUUCCCCGAGUACGGUAGCGGAAGGGGGGUCGCGACGGGACGGUAGCGGAAGGGGGGUCGCGACGGGAGAGAGGUUCUCCACCCCUAGCAAAUGACGUCGCCGCCUCUAACCUCGACCUCGUGUGCAGCAGCGGCAGGGACCUCUGCCCGUGGGUCUUUGUCUCACUGAUCAUCCUCCGGGAGGCGAUUCGCUAUCGGCGCCUUAGCGUCGGCUGCCACGUGAAGGAGGGUCGUGCUCCUGGUCAGGAUCUCCGUGCUCCCGCUCCUGCGCUCCGUGAAGCGACGGCCACGCGCGGCGCGAUGGGCCCCGGCGGCGCUGUUCUCAUCGGGGAUCAUCGCCGGCGACAAGCCCGUUCUGGUGCGUGAUUUCGUGAGGUUGGCGUUGUACGACCCCAACCACGGCUACUUCUCCAAGCGGUCGGGACCCGUGGGUGUGCUCGACUCCCCCAGCUGCUUCCACAAGUUCGACGUACUGCUUGCUUCUGUGCCUCCCAUGUGCUCCUUCGCCAAGUUCGGUCUGUUGGAGUGCACUUGAUCGAGGAAUUUGGGUUUUUUCAGUUGUUUGUUGGGGCGGCAUUUCCACAAACAUGUUGGAUGCAUAACAACAUUCUUGCAAGCCUUGAUCCCUAUCUUCAAUGGAAUACUCUUGGUAUGCAUUUUGAUUGGUUUCUCCUUACGUCUGCGGGGAAGGCACGAUAUGUUUGCGAUGCUGUCCUCUGUGAGGGGAGACGCUGCUCCACACACCAACACCGGCGCCACCGAGAAGCUUAGCAUGAGUAAAUGGAUGUGUGCGUCAGAGUUGUGCCCGUGUUCCCUUAUUGCUACUGUAGUAGCUUUCUCUGCACUGCACUUUUCUAUUCACCGUAUUUUACUUA